UUCAUUCCUCCACGAUUUUCUUUCUUGGCUUGGAGGAUUCUCUUAGAUCGCUUGCCCACUGAUGAUCGGCUGAAAAGAGGUGGGAUUCCGAUUGUGUCCAUCUGUCAAUUAUGCAACAGUUCGGCAGAGUCAGCUUUACACUUAUUUUUACACUGCCCUUUCUCCCAACAUCUUUGGGGAUGGCUGGCAACUCAGUUUGGAACCUCAUUUCCUGCUUAUGACUCUCUGUUGGAUUUUUGGCUGGUUUGCUUACUUUCAUGGAAAUUUGGAAGGCGCGAAAUAGACUCAGGUUUGAUAAUCGUUCCCCUACUUUUUCUACACUGUGUUGUUCAAUUAUGGCAUGGAUUCGGCAAUUCGGUUCUCUUGUUCCUGGUUACUAUAAAGGCGUCCUGGAUUCCCGCCUUCUCUCUUCCCUUGGGGUGUGCCCCAAGCCUCGUAAAGCGCCCAAGAUUC
rnacentral:lncRNA from 1 species